GGGGCUAUAGCUCAGAUGGGAGAGCGCUUGCAUGGCAUGCAAGAGGUCGACGGUUCGAUCCCGUCUAGCUCCA
rfam:Serratia symbiotica genome assembly, type strain CWBI-2.3T, contig: SYMBAF_Contig_2